rnacentral:rRNA from 1 species
CCUACGGGAUGCAGCAGUGGGGAAUAUUGGACAAUGGGCGAAAGCCUGAUCCAGCCAUGCCGCGUGUGUGAAGAAGGCCUUCGGGUUGUAAAGCACUUUCAGUGGGGAAGAAAGCCUUGGGGCUAAUACCCUCGAGGAAGGACAUCACCCACAGAAGAAGCACCGGCUAACUCCGUGCCAGCAGCCGCGGUAAUACGGAGGGUGCGAGCGUUAAUCGGAAUUACUGGGCGUAAAGCGCGCGUAGGCGGUCUGAUAAGCCGGUUGUGAAAGCCCCGGGCUCAACCUGGGAAUGGCAUCCGGAACUGUCAGGCUAGAGUGCAGGAGAGGAAGGUAGAAUUCCCGGUGUAGCGGUGAAAUGCGUAGAGAUCGGGAGGAAUACCAGUGGCGAAGGCGGCCUUCUGGACUGACACUGACGCUGAGGUGCGAAAGCGUGGGUAGCAAACAGGAUUAGAUACCCCGGUAGUC